GACGUAGGAUGCAAGCGUUGUUCGGAUUUAUUGGGCGUAAAGCGAGCGUAGGUGGCUAGAUAAGUCUGGUGUUAAAGCUAGGGGCUCAACCCCUGUGUUGCACUGGAAACUGUCUGGCUUGAGGAUGGUAGGGGAAGGUGGAAUUCCGAGUGUAGCGGUGAAAUGCGUAGAUAUUCGGAGGAACACCGGUGGCGAAAGCGACCUUCUGGGCCAUUUCUGACACUGAGGCUCAAAAGCUUGGGGAGCAAACAGG
rnacentral:rRNA from 1 species